AAAGGGGAGGAGCAGGAUGGGGACUUCCAGCCAGUGUUAAGGGGGUCUCAAAAGUCCUGCAGUCUCACUCCAGUUCAGCUCAGACCCUGGCUUUGAGGCACCACUGGGAGUUUCAAGAAAGACAAAAAUCAAGAUGCCAGAGCCUGCAAAGAAAACAGCUUCUGCUUUCACCAAGAAGCCAAAGACAACAGAGGUAGUGGAAGGAGACACAGCUGUGUUUGAAGCAGAGACUGAAAAGACUGGCAUCAAAGUGAAGUGGCAGCGAGCUGGAGCAGAAAUGUUUGAAAGUGAGAAGUAUAUCAUCAAGGCUGAGGGGAACAAGCAUUCACUGACUAUCAAUAACACUGGAAGAGAGGAUGAUGCGACAUAUGCUGUAAUUGCAGGGAGUUCCAAAGUCAAAUUUGACCUCAAGGUCAAAGAGCCAGAAAAGUCUGAGGCAGUUCUUCCUACUGAAGCGGUUUGUACCCCAAUUGUUUCAGAGUUACCUACACCAGCAGAGACACAACCAACAGAAUGCAGCAAGAGUUCUGAAGUUCCAGCUCCUGAGGCUCAGCCAGAGCUGCCUCUGGACCCUGUUGGUCUCUUCGUGACACGGCCUCGGGAUGGAGAAGUGACUGUCGGUGGAAACAUCACAUUCACUUGCAAAGUGGCAAGUGCCAGCAUGUUGAAGAAACCAUCAGUGAAAUGGUUCAAGGGAAAGUGGAUGGACCUGGGAAGCAAAGUGGGGAAACAUCUCCAGCUGCAUGACAGCUAUGACCGAAACAACAAGGUUUACAUCUAUGAAAUGCACAUUAUCCAAGCGAAAAUGACUUACGCAGGGGGUUAUAGAUGUGAGGUGUCUACAAAGGACAAAUUUGAUAGCUGUAACUUCAGCCUGAUUGUCAAUGAAGCACCAGCAACAGGAGACAUGGAUAUCCGUACUGCAUUUCGACGAACGAGCCUGGUGGGAGGAGGAAGACGGAUGCCUGCAGCCUGUCUCAGUGCAGAGGGACACGAAGACGGUGCAGAGCUGGAUUUUAGUGCCUUAUUGAAAAAGAGAGACAGCUUCUUGCGCUCAGUAAAUCGUGAACCAAAAACUGAAUCACAACCUGAUGUUGAUGUCUGGGACAUCCUGCGGAGAGCUCCUCCUUCUGAGUAUGAGAAAAUUGCUUUCCAGUAUGGUAUCACAGACCUACGGGGGAUGCUGAAACGCCUCAAACGCAUAAAAAAGGAGGAGAAGAAAAGUACAGCAUUCCUCCAGAAACUGGAUCCUGCUUACCAAGUGGACAAAGGACAGAAGAUCAAGUUAAUGGUUGAACUUGCCAACCCAGAUGCUGAAGUGAAAUGGUUGAAGAAUGGACAGGAGAUCCAAGUGAGCGGCAGCAAAUAUAUUUUUGAGGCUGUUGGGAAUAAGAGGAUCCUGACUAUCAAUCACUGCUCCCUAGCUGAUGAUGCAGCAUAUCAGUGUGUGGUUGAUGAGGAGAAAAGCUUCACAGAACUAUUUGUAAAAGAGCCUCCAAUCCUGAUCAGCCACCCAUUGGAGGACCAGGUGGUGAUGGUUGGAGAGAGAGUGGAGUUCGAGUGUGAAGUGUCUGAGGAAGGGGCUGCUGUGAAAUGGGAAAAGGAUGGAAUUGAGCUGAAACGGGAAGAGACAUUCAAGUACCGGUUCAAGAAGGAUGGGAAAAAGCAUUACCUGAUCAUUAAUGAGUCAACCAAGGAGGACAGUGGGCACUACACCGUGAAGACCAAUGGUGGGGAGUCAGUAGCUGAACUGAUCAUACAAGAGAAGAAGCUGGAAGUGUACCAGAGUAUCGCAGACCUGACAGUGAGGGCACGGGACCAGGCAGUCUUCAAGUGCGAAGUCUCCGAUGAGAAUGUGAAAGGAAUCUGGUUGAAAAAUGGGAAGGAGGUGAUCCCAGAUGAGAGGAUAAAGAUCUCUCAUAUUGGCAGAAUCCAUAAGCUAACUAUUGAUGAUGUAACCCCAGAAGAUGAGGCCGACUAUUCUUUUGUACCUGAAGGAUUUGCUUACAACCUUUCUGCCAAACUCAGAUUUUUGGAGAUCAAGAUUGAUUUUGUGCCAAGACAAGAACCCCCCAAAAUCCAUCUAGACUUCAUGGGUCAAGCAGCCCCUGACACUAUUGUUGUGGUGGCUGGGAACAAACUUAGAUUGGACGUUCCCAUAUCGGGAGAUCCAAUACCCACUGUCAUCUGGCAGAAAGUAAACAAGAAUAGCUGCCAUGUGCUAAGCAAUGCUGAUUCCAUGGAUUCCCCAGACUCCAGCAGUGAUUUAAGUAAUGAGAGCAAGCUUCUCUCUGAAACUGAAGGUAGAGUGCGUGUAGAGAUGCAUGAAGACCACUGUAUCUUCAUCAUUGAAGGAGCAGAGAAAUCAGAUGAGGGGGUUUAUAGAGUUACAGUAAAGAACCCAGCAGGAGAAGAUAAGGCUGAUAUCACAGUAAAGGUUAUUGAUGUUCCUGAUCCUCCAGAGGCUCCCAAGAUCGUCAACAUUGGAGAGGAUUACUGCACAGUGCAGUGGCAACCCCCUAAAUAUGAUGGAGGACAACCAAUACUGGGAUAUAUCUUAGAGAGGAAAAAGAAGAAGAGCUACCGGUGGAUGCGGCUGAACUUUGACCUUUUGAAGGAGCUGUCAUAUGAAGCCAAGCGAAUGAUUGAAGGUGUUGUUUAUGAGAUGCGACUUUAUGCUGUGAAUUCCAUUGGUAUGUCCCGGCCUAGCCCUGCCUCACAGCCCUUCAUGCCAAUUGCUCCCCCAAGUGAACCAACCCACUUUACAGUGGAAGACAUCUCUGACAGCACUGUUACCCUUAAGUGGAGGCCCCCUGAGCGGAUUGGAGCAGGGGGACUAGAUGGCUACCAUGUGGAGUACUGCAAAGAAGGAUCUUCCGAGUGGGUUCCAGCUCUUCAAGGUCUAACUGAGAGAACAUCUGCACUCAUUAAAGAUCUGGUCACCGGGGACAAACUCUACUUCCGUGUCAGGGCUAUAAACCUGGCUGGUGAGAGCGAACCAGCACUAAUCAAAGAGCCUGUUACCAUCCAAGAGAUCCUGCAACGUCCCAAAUUCUGGCUGCCACGCUAUCUACGGCAGACUCUGGUGAAGAAAGUAGGAGAGACAAUCAACAUUGUGAUUCCCUUCCAGGGUAAACCUAGACCCAAAGUCACUUGGACAAAAGAUGGUCAAACACUAGAUGCCAAAGAGGUGGGAAUUCGGAACAGCACCACAGACACUAUCCUGUUCAUUCGAAAGGCUGAGCAUCACCACUCAGGGACAUAUGAAGUGGAAGUUCAGAUAGAAAACAUGAAUGAUAAGGUUGCUAUUACCAUGCAGAUAAUGGACAAACCUGGUCCACCUCAGAAUGUGAAAAUCAUAGAUGUGUGGGGAUUCAACGUCGCUCUGGAGUGGAAACCACCCCAAGAUGAUGGCAAUGCUCAGAUCUCGGGGUACACAAUCCAGAAGGCUGACAAAAAGACAAUGGAAUGGUACACUGUUUUUGACCACUAUCGACGAACCAACUGUGUCGUGUCAGACCUGAUUAUGGGGAAUGAGUAUUAUUUCCGUGUCUUCAGUGAAAAUUUGUGUGGACUGAGUGAAACUGCUGCAACAACUAAAACUCCUGCCUACAUACAAAAGACAGGCACCAUUUAUAAACCACCCAGUUACAAAGAGCAUGACUUCUCUGAAGCCCCCAAAUUCACUCACCCCUUAGUAAGCCGUUCUGUGAUCUCUGGAUACAAUGCUACACUCAGCUGUGCUGUAAGAGGAAGCCCCAAGCCAAAGAUAUUCUGGUACAAGAACAAAGUAGAUCUCUCUGGAGAUGCCAAGUAUCGUAUGUUCAGUAAGCAAGGGGUAUUGACCCUGGAGAUCCGAAAGCCCAGUCCCUUUGAUGGAGGCUUUUACACCUGUAAAGCUGUGAAUGAAUGUGGUGAAGCUGAAACAGAGUGCAGAUUGGAUGUUAGAGCACCUCAGUAAAACUCUAAACCUUAGUUCAUCAGCAAUUCAAGGUGGUGUUGGGAUUGGAAUCUGAAGAGAAGGAAAGAAAAAAAGAAAAAAAUGAAUAACGCUUAUAGUGGUAAUUAGAAGCCCCUGGCUUGGUAUUGCUCUACUUUUACACUGGCAUGAAACGAGAAGGCAGGGAGAGGAAACCCAUCCAGGAAGUGAGGCUUUAUCAAAGAACUACAUCAGUUUCUUCAUAGUAAUACUCAGUGCUCCUGUUCUCCCCUCUAAGAUGUUCCGCUCUUGAUGGAUGGGUAUUUCUGACUAAGCAGAUUGAUUGUACUACACUGUGAAGUACAUCUUCAUAAUAAAGAUACCUGUGC